rnacentral:rRNA from 1 species
AUGGCUCAGGAUGAACGCUAGCUACAGGCUUAACACAUGCAAGUCGAGGGGCAGCAUGGUCUUAGCUUGCUAAGGCCGAUGGCGACCGGCGCACGGGUGAGUAACACGUAUCCAACCUGCCGUCUACUCUUGGACAGCCUUCUGAAAGGAAGAUUAAUACAAGAUGGCAUCAUGAGUCCGCAUGUUCACAUGAUUAAAGGUAUUCCGGUAGACGAUGGGGAUGCGUUCCAUUAGAUAGUAGGCGGGGUAACGGCCCACCUAGUCUUCGAUGGAUAGGGGUUCUGAGAGGAAGGUCCCCCACAUUGGAACUGAGACACGGUCCAAACUCCUACGGGAGGCAGCAGUGAGGAAUAUUGGUCAAUGGGCGAGAGCCUGAACCAGCCAAGUAGCGUGAAGGAUGACCGCCCUAUGGGUUGUAAACUUCUUUUAUAAAGGAAUAAAGUCGGGUAUGGAUACCCGUUUGCAUGUACUUUAUGAAUAAGGAUCGGCUAACUCCGUGCCAGCAGCCGCGGUAAUACGGAGGAUCCGAGCGUUAUCCGGAUUUAUUGGGUUUAAAGGGAGCGUAGAUGGAUGUUUAAGUCAGUUGUGAAAGUUUGCGGCUCAACCGUAAAAUUGCAGUUGAUACUGGAUAUCUUGAGUGCAGUUGAGGCAGGCGGAAUUCGUGGUGUAGCGGUGAAAUGCUUAGAUAUCACGAAGAACUCCGAUUGCGAAGGCAGCCUGCUAAGCUGCAACUGACAUUGAGGCUCGAAAGUGUGGGUAUCAAACAGGAUUAGAUACCCUGGUAGUCCACACGGUAAACGAUGAAUACUCGCUGUUUGCGAUAUACUGCAAGCGGCCAAGCGAAAGCGUUAAGUAUUCCACCUGGGGAGUACGCCGGCAACGGUGAAACUCAAAGGAAUUGACGGGGGCCCGCACAAGCGGAGGAACAUGUGGUUUAAUUCGAUGAUACGCGAGGAACCUUACCCGGGCUUAAAUUGCAGAUGAAUUACGGUGAAAGCCGUAAGCCGCAAGGCAUCUGUGAAGGUGCUGCAUGGUUGUCGUCAGCUCGUGCCGUGAGGUGUCGGCUUAAGUGCCAUAACGAGCGCAACCCUUGUUGUCAGUUACUAACAGGUUCCGCUGAGGACUCUGACAAGACUGCCAUCGUAAGAUGUGAGGAAGGUGGGGAUGACGUCAAAUCAGCACGGCCCUUACGUCCGGGGCUACACACGUGUUACAAUGGGGGGUACAGAGGGCCGCUACCACGCGAGUGGAUGCCAAUCCCCAAAACCUCUCUCAGUUCGGACUGGAGUCUGCAACCCGACUCCACGAAGCUGGAUUCGCUAGUAAUCGCGCAUCAGCCACGGCGCGGUGAAUACGUUCCCGGGCCUUGUACACACCGCCCGUCAAGCCAUGGGAGCCGGGGGUACCUGAAGUGCGUAACCGCGAGGAGCGCCCUAGGGUAAAACUGG